CUCUCUGUGUUAGGGUGCUCUCUGUAUUAGGGAGGUUCUGUAUUAGGGUGCUCUCUGUAUUAGGGAGGUUCAAUAUUAGGGAGGGUGCUCUCUGUAUUAGGGUGCUCUCUGUGUUAGGGUGCUCUCUGUAUUAGGGAGGUUCUGUAUUAGGGAGGUUCUGUGUUAGGGUGCUCUCUGUAUUAGGGAGGGUGCUUUCUGUAUUAUAGUGCUCUCUGUAUUAGGGAGGUUCUGUAUUAUGGUGCUCUCUCUAUUAGGGUGCUCUCUGUAUUAGGGAGGGUGCUCUCUGUAUUAUAGUGCUCUCUGUAUUAGGGAGGUUCUGUAUUAGGGUGCUCUCUGUAUUAGGGAGGUUCUGUAUUAGGGAGGUUCUGUAUUAGG